rnacentral:rRNA from 1 species
UACGGGGGGAGCAAGCGUUGUUCGGAUUUACUGGGCGUAAAGGGCGCGUAGGCGGCCACUGCAAGUCAAUUGUGAAAUCUCCGAGCUCAACUCGGAAAUGGCAUUGGAAACUACCCUGCUUGAGGGUUGGAGGGGGGACUGGAAUACUUGGUGUAGCAGUGAAAUGCGUAGAUAUCAAGUGGAACACCAGUGGCGAAGGCGAGUCCCUGGACAACUCCUGACACUGAGGCACGAAAGCUAGGGGAGCAAACAGG